GCCGGGGUGGCGGCGGCCGGGCGGCGUGGAGCUCGGGCGCGGCGCGGGCCCCGGGUCGCUCCGCCGCUCUCUCACAGCUCCUGGCGUCGCCGCUCUCCAGCGCCAGCGUCAGCGGCCAGCCCGCCUCAGCUCCGCCGCCGCCACCGUCGCUGCUGCUGCUGCCGCCGCGACCGCUCCACUUCUACAGACUUGAUUCUUCGACAGUCUCGCACGGCGCCUGCGCGGGCCCCCUCCCCUCGUGCGCGUGCCCGCCCUCCCGCGCGCGCGCUCCCCCUCCCCCCGCGCGCCGAAGGAGCGCUGCCGGGAGAGCCGGCUACGCGGCGCCCGCCCGCCCGCGGGGCAGCGCAGCAGCGCAGCGCCGGUGUUCCCUUCGGAACACCGCGCAAAGUGAUCGAGUGCUUUUCCUCCACUUUCCCUCACUUCGCGCCCCACCCGGCUGUCCCGACCACCCUCAGGAUGUUUUCCUCUGGUGUGCCUCUGGGCCAAAUCGUGCUAAAAAUCAUUUUUUUUCUUUUAUGCAAGGACACUUUGUCACUUGGUUUCCGUCAGUCUCCUGAGAAUGGGGAAUUUAGGUCUAGCGUGGUUCACAGUUCUGGUUUUUUAGGAGUUAUACUUGAAAGCUCAAUGUCGGACACAUAGCAUGAAAUCCGUCACUGGUGCUUUGCAUUUGUCUUGGAAAGGACAUACGCCCCGCCUGUCCCUUUUACUAACUAGGGAGACUGUGAAUAUUCCCAAGCCCAGCACCACGUGCACACGCCGCCAGCUGGCUCGCGCGUUUUCCACGGAGCCCUCUGGAGGGGAGGGAGCGCGGUUCGGACUAGCCUCUCCCGAACACCAAGUGCCGCUCUUAGCCCCGUCCAGCCCGCCCUGUUCAUCGGGGGCCUCGCCGCGCCAGUCGCCCCGGCUGCCUUAUUUCCAGACUUUGCUAAAUCAGGCACUUCUAAAACCAGCCAGUUCUGC
rnacentral:lncRNA from 1 species